rnacentral:rRNA from 1 species
UACGUAGGCAGCGAGCGUUGUUCGGAAUUACUGGGCGUAAAGAGUGUGUAGGCGGUGCUCUAAGUUCGGUGUGAAAUCUCCUGGCUCAACUGGGAGGGUGCGCCGGAAACUGGAGUGCUUGAGCGUGGGAGAGGAAAGCGGAAUUCCUGGUGUAGCGGUGAAAUGCGUAGAUAUCAGGAGGAACACCUGUGGUGUAGACGGCUUUCUGGACCAUUUCUGACGCUGAGACACGAAAGCGUGGGUAGCAAACAGG